rnacentral:rRNA from 1 species
UACGUAGGGUGCAAGCGUUGUCCGGAAUUAUUGGGCGUAAAGAGCUCGUAGGUGGCCUGUCGCGUCGGCUGUGAAAACUCGGGGCUCAACUCCGAGCUUGCAGUCGAUACGGGCAGGCUAGAGUUCGGCAGGGGAGACUGGAAUUCCUGGUGUAGCGGUGAAAUGCGCAGAUAUCAGGAGGAACACCGGUGGCGAAGGCGGCGACCUGGUCCGACACUGACGCUGAGGCGCGAAAGCGUGGGGAGCAAACAGG